CUCCCAUCCUCACUCUUUCCUUUUAUCUCUCUCAUAGUUUGUGUAAGUAAUGUUACCUACUCUCAAGAUUUCAGCUACCAAGUUCGGUGUUACCAGCUGCUUUCAUGUGUGGCUGUACUUUCUCUCCCGAGCUCCAGCCUCAUGUCUCUCCUUACAUGUUAGAUACCUCUCCUUGUCAGCAUGCCCCCAACUGAACUUACUUUCUCUUCCCUCAUUCUACUCUGUAUGUCUUCCCUGGGCUGGUAGAAUGAAAUGCCUUUCUCAAUUGCUCCUUCCCUUUGCCCUCCAUACCCAAUUAUCUCUGAGUUCUGCCAAUUUCACUGUCUUAAUAACUCAUUUCUAUCCUCUCUCUUCUAUGAUACUGUUACUGACUUAGUUCAGCAUUUCUUCAUGAUUUCCUACUUGCACUGUAAUAACUGCCCCCCUACUAGAUUGUCUUGUUUUUCACCUGCAGGGCUCUUUCUAAUUAAUCUUUCUCACUUCCUCUAGAGUGAAGAAGGUUCCUUCCUCAAACUGUAGUCAGCUCAAUGGGUUUCUCCCUGCAGGUCCACAAAAGGCAAGGAAGGUCUCCUGAGGUUGCAGCAAUGUGAAAGGGACAGGAAGGGAAAUAAUCCAAAUGAAACGUGGUUUCUCAGGCAACAUUUCCUUCUAACAGCCAUGUAUAAAUGAAAAUAAAGCAACAGUUCAAAUAGAUUCCAGGUCAAAAACAUGACUGCAAAUUGUUCUUAAAAUUUUCGAUCUUAGCCUUUAGCUAGUAAUGCUUAAACUCCACAACUUGCCCGACUAAUUUAGGUGUGGUUUAUUCAUAUCUCUGCGACAUCCUCAUCUUUUACAUCUUUGACUUAUACCUGAAAACUCUGCUCAGGCAUAACUGUCUCUCAUUGCUGAAUUCUCCACGCUCAACUGACUUUCUUUUCCUAAACCUACUUCUUCUAAAAGGGAGUUGGGAGACCGACUUAUCUAGUUAGAAUUCAUGGGCUAAGUUUGGGAAAGGGAAUUUUAUUCCAGGAAUUUAUAAGGGAUUCCAAAAUCCAAACAGAAACGGAAUCUCAAAAAUCACUAUUUGAUAAGCCAAAGAUGGGGGCCAGGAUCACUAAAAAGGCCUUUCAUAAUGUUGGGACCAAAGCUAAGUCCUAUAAAACCAGAAAUCCAAGAUCCUGCUAGACAAGAGCAUAUGCCAGGAAAAAAGUAUGUAGCAGUCACUUGCAUUUACAAUGGGACAUUGCCUAACUGACUGCCUGGGGCUGGAAUUCAUAUUCAAGCACUUGGUGGGUUCAGUAAUAUUUAAUAGUACAGGUGAGACUGUAAUAUUUAAUUAGGUACCAUCCCCUAUACCUUUGGUAUAUGGAGUAAUGUUUUUUAUUACCAUUGUAUGCUGGAUUCUACAUUAGAAAUGUGAGUAUGCGAGAAGGCCCAACCUAAAAAAGGAUGCAUAAGGGUUCCCUAGGUUAAUAAAAGGGGCAACAUCAACUCCUGGCAGAGAAAAGCCUAGCAGCUCCCUCAGGUGAGGAACUAUCUGACUCAAAUCUGUCUUCCCAGGGCCUGUCACACCAGUAGGUCCUCUAACUUCAUUAAUAUGCUAGUCUCUCAUUUGUAAUGACCUAUUCUAUCUAGCAGUAAUUAGGAAGAAACAAACAUGGGAUAAAUGCAGAAACCAAAACAAAUGACCAUAGAGUUGAAACAAAUAGACCAAAGAUGAAGCUUGUACAGAUUUGUCCAUAAUUAAUGACUGCUCUGGUAUUACUCUGGUCAGCAGGGCUUCUGUGAAUUAAAAAUAUUGCUUCACUGGAUGCCAUUUGGCAAAUGGGAAAAUUUCUAAAUAUAACUAUGAACUAUAGGGUUAAUAGAAAAAAUUAGUUUGCAAACUUGAAAUUUCAUCAGCUGACCACUCAACCUGUUAGAAACAUACCAUUUAAUCAAACCAGUAGACAAUCAGAUAUUUUUAAUAUGCAUUCAUUAAACUCUUCAAUGUAGACAGCUUUUGAAGCAUGUUCAAAAUGCUACGAGAGUCAGAAGAGCUAAGAGCUUUAUUGAAGAAUUCCAGUAUCAGGUCUACAAAAGUAAGUGUACAGUGCAUGCUUCUUUUGAAUUCCAAUACAGAAACUAAUGUACAAUCCAUUAAUGCUUUCCUCAAUAACAUGUAAAUAUAAGUUCACACAUGAAAAGUGAUAUUAAUGGAUAACCCCUAAUAGUACAGACUGACCAGGGACAUUUCUCUUUAGGAACUUAAAAAUCAAGGAACUCAGGGGCACCUGGGUGGCUUAGUAGGUUAAGUGUCUCAAUCUUGAUUUCAGCUUAGGUCAUGAUCUUGAGGUCUGAGACGGAGCCCCCUGAGAGGCUCAGCACUCAGUGUAGAGUCUGCUUGUUCCUCUCCCUCUGCCUCUGCCUCUACCCCACAUCCUGCCAUCCUGCUCCUGCUCCUGCAUGUUCACUCUCUAUCUCUCAAAGAAGUAAAUUUAAAAUCUAAGAAAGAAAAAUCAAGGAAGUGAACUAACACUGGGUACUUAUUAUAUUCCAAGAUCUGUUACUCAUGGCAUUUAAAUAGGUUUUCUUAUUCAAUCUUUAAAAAGUUCUAUAAGUAGGUGUUAUCAAUAGAGGA
rnacentral:lncRNA from 1 species